AUACGUAGGGGGCGAGCGUUGUCCGGAAUGAUUGGGCGUAAAGGGCGCGUAGGCGGCGCGGUAAGUCUGGAGUGAAAGUCCUGCGUUCAAGGUGGGAAUUGCUUUGGAUACUGCCGCGCUUGAGUGCAGGAGAGGUUAUCGGAAUUCCCGGGGUAGCGGUGAAAUGCGUAGAGAUCGGGAGGAACACCAGUGGCGAAGGCGGGUAACUGGACUGCAACUGACGCUGAGGCGCGAAAGUGUGGGGAGCAAACAGGAUUAGAUACCCUGGUAGUCCACACUGUAAACGAUGAAUGCUAGGUGUAAGAGGUAUCGACCCCUUUUGUGCCGGAGUCAACACAAUAAGCAUUCCGCCUGGGGAGUACGGCCGCAAGGUUGAAACUCAAAGGAAUUGACGGGG
rnacentral:rRNA from 1 species